rnacentral:rRNA from 1 species
GUGGAUUAGUGGCGAACGGGUGAGUAACACGUGGGCAAUCUGCCCUGCACUCUGGGACAAGCCCUGGAAACGGGGUCUAAUACCGGAUACGACACAGGGAGGCAUCUCCUCUGUGUGGAAAGCUCCGGCGGUGCAGGAUGAGCCCGCGGCCUAUCAGCUUGUUGGUGAGGUAACGGCUCACCAAGGCGACGACGGGUAGCCGGCCUGAGAGGGCGACCGGCCACACUGGGACUGAGACACGGCCCAG